rnacentral:rRNA from 1 species
UACGGGGGGGGCAAGCGUUGUUCGGAAUUACUGGGCGUAAAGGGCUCGUAGGCGGCCAACUAAGUCAGACGUGAAAUCCCUCGGCUUAACCGGGGAACUGCGUCUGAUACUGGAUGGCUAGAGUUUGGGAGAGGGAUGCGGAAUUCCGGGUGUAGCGGUGAAAUGCGUAGAGAUGUGGAGGAAUACCGAUGGCGAAGGCAGCCCCCUGGGCCAAUACUGACGCUCAUGCACGAAAGCGUGGGGAGCAAACAGG